AUUGAACGCUGGCGGAAUGCUUUACACAUGCAAGUCGAACGGCAGCACGGACUUCGGUCUGGUGGCGAGUGGCGAACGGGUGAGUAAUGUAUCGGAACGUGCCCAGUCGUGGGGGAUAACGUAGUGAAAAUUACGCUAAUACCGCAUACGAUCUAUGGAUGAAAGCGGGGGAUCGCAAGACCUCGCGCGAUUGGAGCGGCCGAUAUCAGAUUAGGUAGUUGGUGGGGUAAAGGCCCACCAAGCCAACGAUCUGUAGCUGGUCUGAGAGGACGACCAGCCACAGUGGAACGGAGACACGGUCCAGACUCCUACGGGAGGCAGCAGUGGGGAAUUUUGGACAAUGGGCGAAAGCCUGAUCCAGUCAUUCCGCGUGCAGGAUGAAGGCCCUCGGGUUGUAAACUGCUUUUGUACAGAACGAAAAGGUUUCUACUAAUACUAGGAGCUCAUGACGGUACUGUAAGAAUAAGCACCGGCUAACUACGUGCCAGCCGCCGCGGUAA
rnacentral:rRNA from 1 species